CAAGAACCAGCAGGACUCCAGGCUUUGCAGCCUCACAGUUGCAAAGGUUCUCUAUGACGGAAUGUGACAACAAGUGAUAUUCUGCAUACCUCCAUUUAAUAGUCCUUUUCUUUGAAAUUCAGGUUAAAUUGGAGUUAGAAAUCAAACACUUACUUGAAUUUUACUGCUUUGGGGACUUAUAAUUGGAUGUAUACCUUCCUAGGGAUACGUUUACAUUUUCUAAAGAAAAUCUAUAAAGGAUCAUUAUAUACUCACACCAGCUUAUCUGAAAAUGUGUCAGAAAGAAAUAUCCAUAUCAUGUUCCAGACUAGGGUUCCAGAAUAAUUUUUCUGAAUGGCUAUUUCUAACUUAGGAAAGCCCAUGAAAAUAUUUUAGUUGCAACUACUUUUAGUUCUUGUUGUAUGUCUGGGGUGGUCAUUGGCAGUGUCUUCACAGAAGCACUGCAGGCAAAGGUCUGAGUUUGCCACUAUUUUAUAACAGAAGAGUCAAAUGGAGGCACCAAUUAAGUCGUGACCUUAGCUAAGGUCAUCUUCCAGGUGGUCAAGCUGGUGUCUGAACUUGGGCAGCUCAACAUGAAGGUCAAGUUUCUGAUUUUUACAAAUGAACCAACCGGUGUACCAAGGUCACUCACUUUGUUGGUUCUAAAUCUUGGAGGCCAGACCUUCUGAAUUUGUGACUAGUAUGCUUUACAAAACUUGCAGGUGGACCUCAAGGAGCUGCCUCUGCUUUGGUGUCUUUUAUUCCCGAUACAUCUCAUAUGUAAGUGCCUUACACCCUUCCCCAAACACACACAUACUCACACACACACACACACGCACACAGAGUCAUAUGAUGUCCCAAGAACUACACGUGAUUGUCUCAGACUUUUUCCUGAUCUCUAACAUGUCUUUGUUGUAGAUCCCAUAAUACACCAGUUCCCAUAUAAACAGGAUGUGUGCUUUUCUCUCUCUGGAAUUAUUUACCAUCUGUCACUGGUUGGUGUGCCUUUUUCCUGCCAGAUCCAC
rnacentral:lncRNA from 1 species